UACUAAAAAGAAUUAGUGCAGCCAUUUAAAGCAACUCAUUGGAUAGUUUCAUCCUUUUUUUAAAGCAAAUAAUGUUUCAUCCUCAAUUUUUAAUUGAUUGAAGAUAGCCCUUAGGCAGGCUGAGAGAAGACUUGCUUUCAUCUGUCACGAAGUUGGCCUCUUCUUUUCCUUCCUCCCUGUCUGCGCCAAUCAGAUUGUUUGAUUUGGGGAAUUGUUUUUUGGGGGGUUGCUUUCUUCGGUUCAUUUAUAUGCGCUUAGUUUCUCAAUGGAAAGUGGUGUGCCGGGGCAGCUUGUGGGCUCGGAGAUUCAUGGAUUUCAUACACUGCAAGAUUUGGAUUAUGGGAACAUAACGGAGGAAGCUAGUUCAAGAUGGCUCCGACCAAAUGAAAUUCAUGCAAUACUUUGUAACUAUAAGUAUUUCGUCAUUAAUGUCAAGCCAGUGCACUUGCCCAAAAGUGGUGUUAUUAAGUUAUUUGACCGUAAGAAGCUUAGGAACUUCCGCAAAGAUGGUCAUAAUUGGAAGAAGAAAAAAGAUGGGAAGACGGUUAAAGAAGCUCAUGAACACUUAAAAGUUGGUAAUGAAGAAAGGAUUCAUGUAUACUAUGCACAUGGGGAAGACAACCCAACCUUUGUCCGCAGGUGUUAUUGGCUACUUGAUAAGACUCUGGAACAUAUAGUCCUUGUGCACUAUCGAGAAACUCAGGAGUUGCAGGGUUCUCCAGUCACACCUAUGAAUUCAAAUUCUAGUUCAGUCUCUGACCAGUCACCUUGGCUUUUAUCAGAAGAAUUUGAUUCUGGAGCUGGUCAUGCAUAUUAUGCUGGCGUGAAAGAACCUCUAGGUGAUUUUACUGAGCCUGGUGACAGUUCAACUGUCAGAGAUCAUGAAAUGAGGCUUCAUGAGAUUAAUACACUUGAAUGGGAUGAGCUUGUGAUGAAUGAUCUUAACAUUUCACCCAUGCCUAAAGGAGGUGAUGGACUUGAUGUCUUUUGUUGCAAUGUCAUUAGCUUCAAAGUUCAAAAAUCAUUAAUAGUGUUUUUAGUCUCUAUAUUAAUCCAUUUGUGUUUUUCUUUCCUUGAUGGUUGGCAGAUAAGAGUAUGAGCUUUGACCAGCAUAAUCAAAUUGCAGUGAAUGGGUCCAUGAAUGAUGGUAUUUCUCUUCCAGCCUACAAUUUAUCUGCAGAAAUUCCUCCUUUAGAUAACUUAACUGAACCUAUUGCAAGGAACAACAAUUCUUGCUUAAAUAUUCCAGAGGAUGCUUACACUAAGCCAACAAGAGUCCAAGGAAAUGUGCAGAAGAAGGAUUCUAGUAUCCUAGGGACUGGUGAUUCUUCAGACUUGCUGGUUAAUGAUGGUCUGCAAAGUCAAGAUAGUUUUGGAAGGUGGAUAAACGACAUAAUAGCCGACUCUGCAGGUUCUGUAGAUAAUGCUGUGCCUGAUUCUUCUAUUUCAUCUGGUCAUGAUUCACAUACUUCUCCAGCAAUUGAUCAACUUCAAUCUUCUAUUCCUGAACAAAUAUUUGUCAUCACUGAUAUCUCCCACACAUGGGCCUUUUCAAGUGAAACGACAAAGAUUUUAGUUACUGGAUAUUUCCAUGAACAAUAUCUACAUCUGGCAAAAUUUGACCUGUGUUGUGUGUGUGGAGAUGCUUGUGUUCAUGCAGAAAUUGUUCAGGUUGGAGUGUAUCGCUGUUUGGUAUCACCACAUUCCCCUGGAUUAGUAAAUCUGUUUUUAAGUUUGGAUGGCCAUAAACCCAUAAGCCAAGUUUUAAAUUUUGAGUACCGCUCUCCAUUACGCUAUCCUGCGGUUUCAUCAGAAGACAAACCCAACUGGGAAGAGUUCAAACUUCAGAUGAGACUUGCUUGCUUGCUUUUCUCUACAUCCAGAAGCCUCAGCAUUUUAACCAGCAAGGUAUCACCAGCUAACUUGAAGGAGGCUAAAAAGUUUGCUCAAAAAACCGCUAGCAUUUCCCAUAAUUGGGCAUGUUUGAUCAAGUCAAUCGAGGAAAAUAGAGUUUCAUUUUCACAAGCAAAAGAUAGUUUGUUUGAACAAUCUUUGAAGAACAUGCUAAAGGAAUGGUUGUUGGAAAGAGUGGUUGAAGGCUGUAAAACCACUGAAUAUGAUGCUCAAGGUCAAGGUGUAAUCCAUUUGUGUGCUAUUCUUGGAUAUACUUGGGCUGUUUAUUUAUUUUCAUGGUCAGGCUUGUCAUUGGAUUUUCGAGAUAAACAUGGAUGGACAGCUCUUCAUUGGGCAGCAUAUUUUGGAAGGGAGAAAAUGGUUGCAGUUCUCUUAUCUGCAGGGGCAAAGCCAAACUUGGUCACAGAUCCCACUUCAGAUCACCCUGGUGGAUGCACUGCUGCUGAUCUUGCAUCUGCAAAGGGUUAUGAUGGCUUAGCAGCUUAUCUGUCAGAAAAGUGUUUAGUAGCACAAUUCAAGGAUAUGUCUGUAGCCGGAAAUGUUAGUGGCUCUCUGCAAACAAGUUCAACUGACAAUGUGAACGCCGAGAAUUUAAGUGAGGAGGACCUAUAUCUGAAGGAUACUUUAGCAGCUUAUCGAACAGUUGCUGAUGCAGCAGCACGUAUACAGGUUGCAUUUAGAGAACACUCCCUAAAAGUUCGGACUAAAGCAGUUCAGUUUGCAAAUCCAGAGGAUGAAGCACGGAACAUAGUUGCGGCAAUGAAGAUUCAACAUGCCUUUCGCAACUAUGAAACACGGAAAAAGAUGGCAGCUGCUGCCCGUAUCCAGUAUAGGUUUCGUACAUGGAAAAUGCGGAAGGAAUUCCUUACCAUGCGUAAACAUGCUAUCAGAAUUCAAGCUGCUUUUCGAGGCUUCCAAGUGAGAAGGCAAUACUGCAAGAUAGUCUGGUCAGUUGGAGUGCUUGAGAAAGCAAUUCUGCGAUGGCGUUUAAAAAGAAGAGGAUUCCGUGGCCUUCAUGUUGAUCCCAUUGAAGUAGUUGCAGAUGAGAGGCAGGAAAGUGAUGUGGAGGAAGACUUCUACCGAGCUAGUCGGAAGCAAGCUGAAGAGCGUGUUGAGAGAGCAGUUGUACGGGUUCAAGCCAUGUUCCGUUCAAGGAAGGCACAAGAAGAAUAUCGCAGGAUGAAAUUGACUUAUAACGAAGCAGAGCUGGAAUACGAAGGGCUUCUUGACCAUGAUAUCAACUUGGAUGGAUGAACCUGAUUGAAGAUGCAGAUUGACUUGGUAAUUUUGCGGUUAUGGAUGGUAUGCAUGUAAAUCUGAAUGUUCGUAGUGUAGGUUUAUGCCUUUUAGUAGCCUGUACAUCUUGGUAGAUGCCUAGUAUGAUCUGGUCAUGCACUUUUUUACCCUUGUCAUGAUAACAACUUAAGCUCUUGAUAUUGUUUUUGGAUUUGGUUAAAAGAUUUGUAAUUAUUUAUAGUAUUGCAAGUUUGAAUUCUUUGAGCUUCUUUGAGAAUUAAUUUUAAGAGUGUGCCAAGGAAAC
rnacentral:misc_RNA from 1 species